ACUUUCUAUUUUUAUCUAACUUCUAGAAAUUGAUGCUUAAUUUCCUGCAAAAAUAAGAAGUGCGCAUCAACUGACUAGCCUUAAAAGCUAUAAGGCUUAUAUAGUUAUUACGUAAAGCAAUCUAGCAUCUAAGUUGUAAUUUAGGCUUAUAUAAUAAGUAAACCGUCGCCUUUGUUCUAGACAUAAGAAUGGUCUAGAUGAUGGAGAUUGAUGAUAAUAUUUGGUUUAGAGAUCUACUUUUGUUAACUCUAAGUCACCGGCUAGGAAGCCUAAAUCUCAAACUUGUGAGGCCCCGGGGCUCUUUUAUAAAAUCCUUUAUAGGAAACGGCCAGUGAAAAAUAUAUGAACUUUUUUUUACUACAACCAAAAGACUGUCACAAGCGUGCACAGACCUGGCACAUAGACAGAGUCUCUCCUGUCCAAUUGGAUAGUAUCUUUUUCAUCCAUACACAGGACAAACGUUCAACUAUCACAUCAACCAUAACAGAAACAACAACACCAAACUAUAUGGAGAAUAUCAGAAACACUAAUCCACAACUACCAACAUGUGACAACUCUAUAUAACAUGUGAAAACUAUAUAAAAGGUGUUUAAACAAAAUGGUAACCAGAACACACAAUGCUACUGCCAUGGUAAUAUGUCUAUCUAACUGCGCCCGCAUGAACCAUUUUGGCCCUCAUUUCCAAUGUCACCUGUAGAAAACAAGGGGUGAGAAACAUGUACACAUGUUUCCCACUGGGUACCGCAAGCUGUCAUAGACAAGCUAUACUCACCAACAAACACAAAAGAAAGAUAACACGAUCCAACAGGUAUAAAGAAGUAAAAUAGAUAUAGUAGCAAUAGUAAAGGUGGAAACCAGAUAUACAGCUAACGAUAUAUAUAUAUAUAUAUAUAUAUAUAUAUAUAUAUAUAUAUAUAUAUAGAAUUAGGCUGGAAUACUAUUAAUAGUAAAACGCUCUUUUUGCUAUCAAGUUUUUAACCCUUGGAUGAAAAAUUGUAGGGUCAGGAUUAUAUUAGUCAGUUAGAGUUGAGUGGUCCCCCUAGGGUUUAGUGGUCCCCACUGGGUUAUAGUAUUUAAUCCAAUGGUUAGAAAUAAUGAAAAGAGUUGAUCCAAA
rnacentral:lncRNA from 1 species